rnacentral:rRNA from 1 species
GCUUGUUGGUGAGGUAAUGGCUCACCAAGGCGACGACGGGUAGCCGGCCUGAGAGGGUGACCGGCCACACUGGGACUGAGACACGGCCCAGACUCCUACGGGAGGCAGCAGUGGGGAAUAUUGCACAAUGGGCGAAAGCCUGAUGCAGCGACGCCGCGUGAGGGAUGACGGCCUUCGGGUUGUAAACCUCUUUCAGUAGGGAACAAGGCCAGUGUUUAGCUGGUUGAGGGUACUUGCAGAAGAAGCGCCGGCUAACUACGUGCCAGCAGCCGCGGUAAUACGUAGGGCGCAAGCGUUAUCCGGAAUUAUUGGGCGUAAAGAGCUCGUAGGCGGUUUGUCGCGUCUGCCGUGAAAGUCCGGGGCUCAACCCCGGAUCUGCGGUGGGUACGGGCAGACUAGAGUGAUGUAGGGGAGACUGGAAUUCCUGGUGUAGCGGUGAAAUGCGCAGAUAUCAGGAGGAACACCGAUGGCGAAGGCAGGUCUCUGGGCAUUAACUGACGCUGAGGAGCGAAAGCAUGGGGAGCGAACAGGAUUAGAUACCCUGGUAGUCCAUGCCGUAAACGUUGGGCACUAGGUGUGGGGGACAUUCCACGUUUUCCGCGCCGUAGCUAACGCAUUAAGUGCCCCGCCUGGGGAGUACGGCCGCAAGGCUAAAACUCAAAGGAAUUGACGGGGGCCCGCACAAGCGGCGGAGCAUGCGGAUUAAUUCGAUGCAACGCGAAGAACCUUACCAAGGCUUGACAUGAACUGGAAACACUUGGAAACAAGUGCCCCGCUUGCGGUCGGUUUACAGGUGGUGCAUGGUUGUCGUCAGCUCGUGUCGUGAGAUGUUGGGUUAAGUCCCGCAACGAGCGCAACCCUCGUUCUAUGUUGCCAGCACGUAGUGGUGGGGACUCAUAGGAGACUGCCGGGGUCAACUCGGAGGAAGGUGAGGACGACGUCAAAUCAUCAUGCCCCUUAUGUCUUGGGCUUCACGCAUGCUACAAUGGCCGGUACAAUGGGUUGCGAUACUGUGAGGUGGAGCUAAUC